AUUGAACGCUGGCGGCAUGCUUUACACAUGCAAGUCGAACGGCAGCGCGGGCUUCGGCCUGGCGGCGAGUGGCGAACGGGUGAGUAAUGCAUCGGAACGUGCCCAGUAGUGGGGGAUAGCCCGGCGAAAGCCGGAUUAAUACCGCAUACGACCUGAGGGUGAAAGCGGGGGACCGAAAGGCCUCGCGCUAUUGGAGCGGCCGAUGUCGGGUUGGCUGGUUGGUGGGGUAAAGGCUUACCAAGGCGCCGAUCCGUAGCUGGUCUGAGAGGACGACCAGCCACACUGGGACUGAGACACGGCCCAGACUCCUACGGGAGGCAGCAGUGGGGAAUUUUGGCCAAUGGGGGCAACCCUGAUCCAGCCAUGCCGCGUGCGGGAAGAAGGCCUUCGGGUUGUAAACCGCUUUUGUUCGGGAAGAAAUCCUCUGGGCUAAUACCCCGGGGGGAUGACGGUACCGGAAGAAUAAGCACCGGCUAACUACGU
rnacentral:rRNA from 1 species